rnacentral:rRNA from 1 species
AUUGAACGCUAGCGGCAGGCCUAACACAUGCAAGUCGAGCGGAUGAAGGGAGCUUGCUCCUGGAUUCAGCGGCGGACGGGUGAGUAAUGCCUAGGAAUCUGCCUGGUAGUGGGGGAUAACGUCCGGAAACGGGCGCUAAUACCGCAUACGUCCUGAGGGAGAAAGUGGGGGAUCUUCGGACCUCACGCUAUCAGAUGAGCCUAGGUCGGAUUAGCUAGUUGGUGGGGUAAAGGCCUACCAAGGCGACGAUCCGUAACUGGUCUGAGAGGAUGAUCAGUCACACUGGAACUGAGACACGGUCCAGACUCCUACGGGAGGCAGCAGUGGGGAAUAUUGGACAAUGGGCGAAAGCCUGAUCCAGCCAUGCCACGUGUGUGAAGAAGGUCUUCGGAUUGUAAAGCACUUUAAGUUGGGAGGAAGGGCAGUAAGUUAAUACCUUGCUGUUUUGACGUUACCAACAGAAUAAGCACCGGCUAACUUCGUG